UCGAGAAUCUUCGGCAAUGGACGAAAGUCUGACCGAGCGACGCCGCGUGCGGGAUGAAGGCCCUCGGGUUGUAAACCGCUGUCAGUUGGAAGGAAGGGCCUGUGCAGAGCAGGUCUUGACCGAUCUUCAGAGGAAGGACGGGCUAAGUUCGUGCCAGCAGCCGCGGUAAGACGAACCGUCCAAACGUUAUUCGGUAUCACUGGGCUUAAAGCGUGCGUAGGCGGCCUGGAAGGUGAGAUGUGAAAGCCCACGGCUCAACCGUGGAAUUGCGUUUCAAACCGCCAGGCUUGAGGAAGACAGGGGUGUUGGGAACUUAUGGUGGAGCGGUGAAAUGCGUUGAUAUCAUAGGGAACACCGGUGGCGAAGGCGCAACACUGGGUCUUUUCUGACGCUGAGGCACGAAAGCUAGGGUAGCGAACG
rnacentral:rRNA from 1 species